rnacentral:rRNA from 1 species
AUUGAACGCUGGCGGCAGGCCUAACACAUGCAAGUCGAGCGGAUGAGUGGAGCUUGCUCCAUGACUCAGCGGCGGACGGGUGAGUAAUGCCUAGGAAUCUGCCUGGUAGUGGGGGGAAACGUUUCGAAAGGAACGCUAAUACCGGAUACGUCCUACGGGAGAAAGCAGGGGACCUUUGGGCCUGGCGCUAUCAGAUGAGCCUAGGUCGGAGUAGCUAGUAGGUGAGGUAAUGGCUCACCUAGGCGACGAUCCGUAACUGGUCUGAGAGGAUGAUCAGUCACACUGGAACUGAGACACGGUCCAGACUCCUACGGGAGGCAGCAGUGGGGAAUAUUGGACAAUGGGCGAAAGCCUGAUCCAGCCAUGCCGCGUGUGUGAAGAAGGUCUUCGGAUUGUAAAGCACUUUAAGUUGGGAGGAAGGGCAGUAAGUUAAUACCUUGCUGCUUUGACGUUACCAACAGAAUAAGCACCGGCUAACUUCGUGCCAGCAGCCGCGGUAAUAC